CUGCCACAAAUAACCAUACACAUAUAUGUACAUACACUGUGCUCCCUCCUGCCAAGACUGUCUUAAUUUGGGAAUCAUGCUUCACCAGUUUCCUUUUCAUUGCUAAGCUACAAAGGAAAAAAAAGACAAAGGGGCAGAAGAAAAAGAAGCCCACUUCACUGUACAGAGAAGUUGCUGGGGUUCAUCUUUCGUGUGGUAAAGUUAUUAAAGAGACUGUGUGAUGCUGAUCUGCACAAGAACACAGGAGGCCAUCAGUAGCUACAGUAGUAAUUAGACUCUCCACUAAGAAGUACCAAGUAAGAAGAAAUGCAAUAUAGGAAAAUGAAAUAUCUGACUUGAAUGCACAAAGUGGCAUGCAAAAUGUCCUGUUUACAGGAUUUCCAGACUUUAAAACUGAAUGAAAAUUUUCCCUCUUAGUAGAGAGAGUGACAUACACAUUUAAGUUGUGUUACGUAUUUACUAACAUCAACUGGGUGUUACAUAUAUCAACUGUGAUAGAAACUCCUGAGCCUCACCAGUAAAAGCCUUGUGAAGGAAUGAACUACAGAUCCUGGCAUGGGACAUGAAGCAGCCUCCAGGAUGGUCUAGAGAAUGUGGCAGGAAAAUAUUUGGUUGCUUAUUAGAAGAACUGUGUCCACUGAAUUGAUACAUUUUAAAUUUAUUUUGUUUAUUUUUUAUGUGUAUGUGGGUGACCCUCCUGAUUUUUCGUCAGUGUAGCUUUUACAUUCCCGAUGCCCACAUAGGCAUGAAAAGGGCAU
rnacentral:lncRNA from 1 species